AGCGACUUGAAGAGAUUAUGAGAAGAACCAGGAGGAUGGAGGCAGCCGAUAAGAAAACCACUGAGCAAAGAAAUGGUGAUGUAGCCAAAGGAGUUCUCGCUGGAGAGACAGAGGUGUCUGCACUGCCACAGAUGAACUCUCCAGGAAACGGAGAGUCUGCAGAGAGCCCACGAGGAGUCGCUUCACAGCUGUCCAAAGGAACCAC